AGUUCGGAUUACUUCUUUAAGUCUCUGUUCUCUUUUUUCGCGCAAAAAUGCCGGAUCCAGCGAAAUCCGCUCCUGCUCCCAAGAAGGGCUCCAAAAAGGCUGUUACGAAAGUGCAGAAGAAGGACGGCGAGAAGCGCAAGCGCAGCCGCAAGGAGAGCUACUCCGUUUACGUGUAGGAGGUGCUGAAGCAGGUCCACCCCGACACCGGCAUCUCGUCCAAGACCAUGGGCAUCAUGAACUCCUUCGUCAACGACAUCUUCGAGCGCAUCGCGGGAGAGGCGUCCCGCCUGGCGCACUACAACAAGCGCUCCACCAUCACGUCCCGCGAGAUCCAGACGGCCGUGCGCCUGCUGCUGCCCGGCGAGCUGGCCAAGCACGCCGUGUCCGAGGGCACCAAGGCGGUCACCAAGUACACCAGCUCGAAAUCUCAGAAGUUGGUUGAAACAAAAACAGUUCAUACAGCAUGGUAGGCAGAAUUCUAAAAUGAUCCCAAUGACUCACUCCCUUGCAUAAUCCCCUUGAGUGUGGGUGGAACCUAUGACUUGCUUCUAGCCAACAGAAUAUGACAAGGGUGAUGAAAUGUCACUCUUGGGAUUGCUACAUUAUGUAAGACUCUAUCUUAGCAGUCUGGAUGGAAAGUCUCCUCCUGAACUUGAAGAGGUAAGCUGCCACGCCAGGAGAGGGCCUACAAGAGUGCCACAAGGCAAGGGCCUCUAGGAGCUGAGAGUGGCCCCCCACUGAUGGGCAGCAAGAAAGCAGGAACCUCAGUCCUACAACCACAAAGAACUGAAUUCUGCCAGUGACCUUGUGAGCCUGGAAGAGCUGCAAAAAGAAACACAGCAAAGUCAACACCCUAACUGCAGCCUUGGAAGACUCUCAGCAGAGCACUCAGCUAAGCUGUGAUGGGAGUCCUGACCCAUGGAAACUGGAAGAUCUUAAAUGUUAAUAGGACCCAUCCUUUGGAAGUAGGAAAGUGGCAUAGAAGGAGAAGCUGAGUUAGAGAUCACUCACCCACUUGCCCAUCAACUGGAACUGCAAGAGAUCAGAGAAUAAAGAUAUCAGUUGGUCCAAGGAAAAUAAUGAGGAAGAGAGAAUUGGGGAGACAGAAUUAAUGUAGACUCUGAGGGAUCAACUCAGAUCUCUUGAGUUUCUAUUUCUCUUUCUCAAAAUCCAGUACUAACAGAACUGAACAAGCUACAGGUGGUUAUCAAGGAAACUUCACUGCGGUGCGUCCAGGCUUAAUGCUACCUCAGGGUUGCCCUUCCCAUCCUUUUCAUAAAAUAAGCUCUAAUAAACCGUGGAAGCACAGAUACAAGUUGCUUCAUACUCAUGAGUUCUACCCAGAGUUACCACAGGAAGACAAAACUCUUGACUCACAACAGCCACAGCCUGUACCCUUCUAACUGUCCCCUCUGAGUCCAACUUACCCCAAAGGAGCAGAGUUGUCAAGAACCACAUGUUGUCUCCAAGCUGGUGGGAGCAGUGAAAUCUGUAACAUGCAAGAUAUUGAAGAGGUUCUGCUGGUGGCUCCAGAGCCAAAUUAGAAAAGAGGAAGGAAAUUGCCUUUUCUGACCAUUUUCAUCAUGUUCCUUUUCUGGGAAAUACAUCUCAAAUCCUUGAAACAUGCUUUUCCCAUGCUCAUACCUGUUAGCCCAUCUCUCCCAGUUUGAAUCUCUGAUUUUCAGGUUAUGAACUCUCAGAAUCCAGGGAAAAGGCUAAAGUUGUGUUGACAUUCUAUUCUAUUUUUACCCUCUACCGUUUCUGUUUCUUACGGUUAGAAUAUGGCAAAACCUCACUCUUUAUAAUUGGUUCAAUGCCUGGCUAAUGCCUCCAAACAAUCAUUUGAAUCCAGAAGUAUCUAUAUCAGCCUCUAUGAGGCCAUGGGAAAAGUUACUCAUCUACAAGAGCUGCCCUAAUACAAACCAGCCUCUGCUCCUCUAGGGGACACAGACAGGAUCAAUCUCCCAUUUUGGUUAAAAAAGAAAACAAACUCUCUUCCUGAAAGACAUCAUGAAUUUGGAGUGUUUAUUUUGGCUAAAUCCAAGGUAAUUAAUUGUUUAAUGUGGAUGCUAUGGAGAAGAAAAAUAACUCAUGCACAUGGAUAACAAUAUCUUCAAGAAAAGAGUUUCAGAGUACAAGUGGGGAGCUCUGUGCCACCAAACUGAGGUGGCUCCUGAGACAGAGUUGUAACCCCAUAAAAAGAUUUUUAGGUAUUGUGGUAAGAGAGAAAGAGAGCUAAAUGGAAACUAGGAUGAAUUCAAUGAGUGCAGAGAGACUUUGGCAAUCUUACUAGCAGAGAAUGAAAAAUGAUGACAAAUCAUGCUGUAGAUUGGUGUACUGGCCCCAGUUUCUCACCGCUCCCUGAAUCUACACUCUCUCCACAGCCUCAUGAGGGUACGUCUCUGACUCUUGACUGUGGCUCAUCAUGAGACUUUCAUUGGCCAGCGAAAUGUGAAUGGAAAUGACAUGGUGCUAAUUUCAAACUUAGCACUUAGGAAGCUUCACACAUUAUCUCUCACCCUCUUGUUCUCCUGUGAUUGCUGAGACAAGAACAUUUUUUAGCUAGUCAGCCACCGUGCGAAACAGAGCUGUCCUAGACAUUGUGGCUUGAGGCAGAGCUGCCUCACCUGCCCUGCAAACUUGUAAGUGAGAACUAAAUGCUUACCUUUAUAUGCUACUGAGAUUUGAAGAUUGCUGUACAAGCAAGAGCUGACUGACACAAAUGAAAAGCAAGGAAGAAAGGCCGGGAAGAACUCAGGGUGUUCUGAAGAGACGAGAGAAGCCUCAGCUUGUUAAAAUUUAUAUUCAAAGCCUAUAUCUGUAACUAUUUUACUAUUUUGUCUCCAAAGUUUUCUACUGUAUGCAUGUACCAUAAUUUAUUUCACCAACUUCUCUUCAUGAACAUGUAGGUUAUUUCUAAUUUUUUACUGUGUGACCAGUAAAAAAGACUGCUUAC